GAGUUUGAUCGUGGCUCAGAUUGAACGCUGGCGGUAUGCUUAACACAUGCAAGUCGAACGGUAACAGGAGAGAGCUUGCUCUUUUGCUGACGAGUGGCGGACGGGUGAGUAAUGCGUAGGAAUCUGCCUAGUAGUGGGGGACAACGUGUGGAAACGCACGCUAAUACCGCAUACGCCCUACGGGGAAAGGACGGGGAGUCUUCGGACCUCGCGCUAUUAGAUGAGCCUACGUUAGAUUAGCUAGUUGGUGGGGUAAGGCCUACCAAGGCGACGAUCUAUAGCUGGUCUGAGAGGAUGAUCAGCCACACUGGGACUGAGACACGGCCCAGACUCCUACGGGAGGCAGCAGUGGGGAA
rnacentral:rRNA from 1 species